GACAAUAUUUUAUUCACUUCGCAAGAUUCAUGAAAAACAUCAGUGAAAGGAGACCAACAAAACCUUGAGAUCAGUGCACUGAAGUGAGAUAAGACUGGGGAGUCUUUUCAUCACAUGUCACAUGUUGAAGGGCAAGAUGGAAUCUGACCUGAUCAAUGAAAAAAUCUGGUUCUUCAAAGUGCAAGGCUGAAGACAUGGCAAUAAAUAAAGAAGACAAAACUUCCUGUCCUCCCUCAUGGGGCUUCCAUUUUAAAGACUCCAUACCACUGAAUGUAAAAUGGGGUGUUUCCUCAUACUACAAAAUCUUUGGCACCACAAGAUCAUCUAAGCUCAUUUUAUAUAUUCUCUGACUCAGUCCUAGCAUCAACUCUACUCUGGGAUUUAAAUUUAUAAUCAAACUUUAGUUAAGAAUUCAACAAUCUGUGGUCACGUUUUAAUCUUCAUUACUCAUCUGUGUAAACCCAUGUUUGUAUAAAAAUAGAAGCUUCUAUUUUGCCGGUAACAGAUUAUUUUAGGAAAUCAAGUGACUUGGUGGCUUUUCAAAUCAUAAUAAAAAAUGUAUUACUCUGGUCACCUCUGUUAAAACCCAAAGGGCAUUAAGUAAAAUAUGUAUAAUUUCGCUAAUCUGAUGAAAUAUCAUCUCACGGAAUCAUGACCAUAAGAAAGCAUCCCUAGUUGAAAGAAGAGAGUCAAAUUACUCUAUGGAAUAUUUGGAAAUAGGCUUCCUAGCACAAAAAGUAAAGUUCUCAUGUAGUGAGGAAGCAACUACUAACUAAGAUUCUACCUGGACAAUAAUUUUAGAACCUGGCCAGGAAAAAAGGAAAAGACUGCUCAAUGUUGUCAACUUAUUUGUUACCUGAUUAAAAAUACAAAAAUAAAAGUUAUAUCCUUGUAUCUCACUUGGGAAUUCAUUAAUAGAAGAAUACUACAUAAUUUUCAAGAAUAUGGAAGUUUUGUAUGCACUUAUAAUUCAACUUAAAAAUAAUGUUUCCUUUAAACUUAUGUUACACUACUAUUUUGGGGUGGCAGGCAGGAGUGAGGAGUAUUGGGGAAGAAGCCAUAUGAAGUAAACCCCAUUACUCAGUUCUCUUCAGUGUAAUCCUUUGGGUUUUUCCAGAACAUUAGGUACUAGUCAUUAAUUUCUGCUAGGAGUUUCAUGUUGGUCAGUCAUCUCUUGGGAAUGUACUUGUCAUGGUUUAAAACAAGGUAUUUGGUGUUUGUUAAGGUUCUUUAGCAUUCUACUUAUUUCACUAAUUUUGUUUUAAUGGUCCACUUCCUUUAUGCCUUUAGAAUUUUGUUAUGCUAGAUCCAUUCUGUCUUAACAGUAGCAUUUAUAUUUUCAUUUGGAAGUCUGUAUCAGCAGCAGCAUUAUAAAACACUACUGUUCUUCCCCGCUCUUCUUUUUAAAUGUAUU